rnacentral:rRNA from 1 species
CGGACGGGUGAGUAAUGUCUGGGAAACUGCCCGAUGGAGGGGGAUAACUACUGGAAACGGUAGCUAAUACCGCAUAACGUCGCAAGACCAAAGAGGGGGACCUUAGGGCCUCUUGCCAUCGGAUGUGCCCAGAUGGGAUUAGCUAGUAGGUGGGGUAACGGCUCACCUAGGCGACGAUCCCUAGCUGGUCUGAGAGGAUGAUCAGCCACACUGGAACUGAGACACGGUCCAG